CCUACGGGAGGCAGCAGUGGGGAAUUUUGGACAAUGGGGGCAACCCUGAUCCAGCCAUUCCGCGUGAGUGAAGAAGGCCUUCGGGUUGUAAAGCUCUUUUGUUCGGGACGAAACGGUUAAGGUUAAUAACCUUGACUACUGACGGUACCGGAAGAAUAAGCACCGGCUAACUACGUGCCAGCAGCCGCGGUAAUACGUAGGGUGCGAGCGUUAAUCGGAAUUACUGGGCGUAAAGCGUGCGCAGGCGGUUUUGUAAGCCAGAUGUGAAAUCCCCGGGCUCAACCUGGGAAUGGCAUUUGGGACUGCAAGGCUAGAGUAUGGCAGAGGGGACUAGAAUUCCUGGUGUAGCAGUGAAAUGCGUAGAUAUCAGGAGGAAUACCGAUGGCGAAGGCAGGUCCCUGGGCCAAUACUGACGCUCAUGCACGAAAGCGUGGGGAGCAAACAGGAUUAGAUACCCUGGUAGUCCACGCCCUAAACGAUGUCAACUGGUUGUUGGGGAUUUAUUCUCUUAGUAACGAAGCUAACGCGUGAAGUUGACCGCCUGGGGAGUACGGUCGCAAGAUUAAAACUUAAAGGAAUUGACGG
rnacentral:rRNA from 1 species